GAUGAACGCUAGCGAUAGGCCUAACACAUGCAAGUCGAGGGGCAGCAUAGAGUAGCAAUACUUUGAUGGCGACCGGCGCACGGGUGAGUAACACGUAUGCAACCUACCUACAUCAGGGGAAUAACCAGGAGAAGUUCGGACUAAUACCGCAUAAUACAGGGCUGCCGCAGGGCAAUAUUCGUUAAAGAUUUAUCGGAUGUAGAGGGGCAUGCGUUCCAUUAGCUUGUUGGUGAGGUAACGGCUCACCAAGGCAACGAUGGAUAGGGGAACUGAGAGGUUUGUCCCCCACACUGGAACUGAGACACGGACCAGACUCCUACGGGAGGCAGCAGUGAGGAAUAUUGGUCAAUGGACGAGAGUCUGAACCAGCCAAAUCGCGCGAAGGAAGACUGCCCUACGGGUUGUAAACUUCUUUUGUACAGGAAUAAAAGACAUUACGUGCAAUGUAUUGCAUGUACUGUACGAAUAAGCAUCGGCUAACUCCGUGCCAGCCGCCGCGGUAA
rnacentral:rRNA from 1 species